ACCUUUGCUACCGUCUCUGUCAAUGGUCGUUCUUUGAUUUUGGUCCAUGUUAAAGAAUCGAAGGUGUGAAGGAGAACCAGAGGAGGAAGGAGAGAGAAGAGAAGGAAGAAAAUGAGAAGGAUGAACCAGCAUGAGAGGUGGAGACAUGAAGGUGUUCCGGUGUACCGUCACAGCGUCCGUUGUCGCUCCGGCAUGACUGUUCAGAUUAUUUAAGAAGAAAGACGAGGAAGAAGAAGAGUAGGAGGAGACGUAAGAAGAGCGGUUUCUCCUGAUGUCUACUUGUUCACUGCAGCGAUUAACGCAUUUUGCAAGGGAGGGAUGGAAUGAGGAUGAGUGGGAGGUAUGAUGAGGCAUUUAUGUGU